GCAUCCCUACGGGGGGCAGCAGUGAGGAAUAUUGGUCAAUGGGCGGGAGCCUGAACCAGCCAAGCCGCGUGAGGGAAGAAGGUACAGCGUAUCGUAAACCUCUUUUGUCAGGGAACAAAGGCGGGGACUAGUCCCCGGAUGAGGGUACCUGAAGAAAAAGCAUCGGCUAACUCCGUGCCAGCAGCCGCGGUAAUACGGAGGAUGCGAGCGUUAUCCGGAUUUAUUGGGUUUAAAGGGUGCGUAGGCGGAACAUUAAGUCAGCGGUAAAAUCGAGGGGCUCAACCCCUUUAAGCCGUUGAAACUGG
rnacentral:rRNA from 1 species